AUCAGCAGCAUAUAUGCUUUGAUCUUUAAUGUCUUUCUUUACUUCAUUGUUAUUGUUAUUACUUCUUGGGAUGUCAAUCAUACCAUAGUAAGCAUUGCUAUUUUUCCUAUUCAAUUUGAUUAAGACAGUAAUUCAACUUUUCAGGCUAAGUUUAUUAAAACUGAGAAGAAUGUGAAAGAGUUGAGCAGUUGAAAGAGCGGCUUUCGCUGAAGAUGAUAUGAACCGUGGCCUGUCCGAGCUUCAAUGCUUAUUUUCUUCAUUAAUAUACUCAAAGCGUUUAGCUCAACUUCUAUGAUGCUGCUGGCUCAUCAACUGCAUCUCUCAUCUCUUGUUCAGACCCAAUGUGUGCUUCGACUGAGUGCUGUCUAUUAUGCGUCAGAUUUAUUAUAUUUUGACACAGUCCUCGCGACCUCACUGAUUGCCAACUCUUCAGCACAAAAAUCCAACUGAAAUUCUGUACCUAUUGCAAUUCCAUGAUGUUAAAAGCUAUAGUAUGGUAAUAAACAACAAAUGUAUGUUCCAGCAGAAUAUUCAAAAAGCUUGAAAACCACCAGACAAUAAUAAUGACAAACACGAAUUCUAAGUAUCAAUUCCAACAAAAAAUAAGUAAUAAAUUUUCUUCUCUCUUUUUUGGUUUCUAAUUGACUGAAUACCACAGUUUUUUCCUUCUCAUUACUUUUAUCUUUUGCUUUGCAGAUUCAUGAAAUCCAUCCAAGAAGGUGGCCAGGGAGGAUCAGUGGAAUUGUCCAGAUAAAGUGAUAUGAAUAGGCAUCUCAUAUGAGCAGCUUAUACUGUAGAACAACAUGGACUGGUAGAAGAGCCUUGUAGACAGAGUUGAGCAGUAUGAAAGUUGAAAAUACAGCCUAAGGAUGCUUUCCACACAAUUGACGUGCAAGGACAACUUCAGUAAAAAAAAAAAAGAAAAAAAAUACCAUCCAUGAAAUGGAUGAUCAAGUGAAAUAUUACUUUGAUACAUAUAUUCUUUACAAUUAACUCAAUUUAUUUGUGACUACCGCAACAAAUAAAGAGAACUUUAGAAUUGUUGGGCCCAUGCGAAGCAUGGGCAAGAUUAUCUAGUAGCUCUAUAUACAUGUGAUAGUUUUAUUAAUGACUCUUUUUGUCAGUUUAGCA